CAGUUGUAUUGGUGCUUGGAGUGUCCCUCUAAGUCAGCCUUCUCCAAACUACAACUCCCAUAAUUCUAUGAAUAAAAUAGAUAGGCUGAGAACAUCUGGAGGGCCGGAGUUUGGGGAAGCUUGCUCUAAGUGAAACCCAAGUAUUUUGUUAUUAUUUUAUUUAUAUAGCACCAGCGAAUUCCGUAGCACUGUACAAUAUUCUAUAGUAACUCUACGUCUCUUACAUUAUUCCAUGGAAUGUGCAUGGGCACCAGGAUGCUCUUGGUUUAACUAUUUUUAUACAUCUAGGGUAACUGGAUAUUGAACAGGAUUUGGAAAUGUGCCUUAAAGGGACACUGUACCCAUUUCAUGUCAUUGAAUUGGUUGCAGUACCUGGACUUCCCUGGCACUGUCUCUCCAUUCCCUACGAGAGCUGUGGCUAAGGUAGAUUAUUAAAUACUUCCUUCUAGCCAUACCGAUUCAUUCCAUCAAUAGGCGCUGUGAUAAGCUGAAUGUGGUCAACUGACACUCUCGGCCAAUCACAGCCUCCCAUUGCUGCUCAACCUAAUGCUCCUUGAUUAACCCAAGCCGUACAGAUGGUAUGGUCUCCUGGGGACUCUCGUAUAGAAUUAAAACAUUAAAAAUGGUUUAACGUUUAAUGAAUGGACAGCACUACCAGACCCCAAACACUAUAACCACCUUAAUGAUCAGAAGCAGUUACAGUGCCCCUUUAAUCAUAAACUGAGCAGCUGUAAGCAGCUCCCAAUGGGCUUGCCAAAAUGUAGUACCAAAGGAACCCUACAAGUGGUGAGCAGAUUUCAGUAUCUACUAAUAGUAGUAAUUCUAUGAUCUCCUCC